rnacentral:rRNA from 1 species
GACGAGGGGUCCAAGCGUUUGCUCGGAAUCACUGGGGCGUAAAGGGUGCGUAGGCGGGUCUUUUAAGUCAGGGGUGAAAUCCUGGAGCUCAACUCCAGAACUGCCUUUGAUACUGAAGAUCUUGAGUUCGGGAGAGGUGAGUGGAACUGCGAGUGUAGAGGUGAAAUUCGUAGAUAUUCGCAAGAACACCAGUGGCGAAGGCGGCUCACUGGCCCGAUACUGACGCUGAGGCACGAAAGCGUGGGGAGCAAACAGGG